AAGUGUAUAAAUUUUUAAUUUUGCUUAUAAUUUGAUAAUUUUGCUAAUUUUUUGAUAAUGUUAUUUUCAUCGCUGUUGGAUCCCGCUUAUCUGUCCACAACAACUUUUUCCAAUUUGGCUACAAUCAUUUCCUCUACCUCCAUCUCCAAGAUGGAGCAAUAGUUUAGCUGAACUGAAAGAACGCAUUCAAUUAGCAGUGCAGGAAAUAAGUCCUG